AGUUAGCGCGUUUUUGCAUUACGAUUUUUUUACAACAAAUUAGUCGUUCACGAGAUGUAGACGCAGUUUUAAUCAAAUGAUAAUAUCGAAUGGAGGCCACGGAUGGGGACAAGGAGCGUGGGGCGUCCUCCAACCAGGUGGACUGACGACUUAGUGCGCACGGCGGGAAGUCGUUGGAUGCGGAAGGCGGAGGACCGCAUUAUGUGGAAGGCAUUGGGGAAGGCCUAUGUCCAGCAGUGGGCAGAUAAAGGCUGAUGAUGAUGAUGAUGAUGAUGAUGAUGAUGAUAAUUAUAUGUAAUUUUAUUUUAGUGAAAAUAACCCUUCUACUCAUAUCUGUUCAUAAAAUAUUUAUAACUACUGAUUACCAUGCACCCCACGCUUUUUUUUACAAUAAAAUAAUUUUUUCUUA